UAUGUGAUCGUCUCUCGCAUAUCAAUAAGCGGAGGAAAAGAAACUAACAAGGAUUCCCUUAGUAACGGCGAGUGAAGCGGGAAGAGCUCAAAUUUGAAAUCUUCAAGGUUUUACCUUGACGAAUUGUAGUUUAAAGAAGUGUUUUCUGUUGAAGUUUUGGUAAAAGUUCUUUGGAAUAGGACAUCAUAGAGGGUGAGAAUCCCGUAUUUGACCAUUAUUUUCAGCUGUGUGAUACACUUUCAAAGAGUCGGACUGUUUGGGAAUGCAGUCCAAAAUGGGUGGUAAAUUUCAUCUAAAGCUAAAUAUUGGCGAGAGACCGAUAGCGAACAAGUACCGUGAGGGAAAGAUGAAAAGAACUUUGAAAAGAGAGUUAAACAGUACGUGAAAUUGUCAAAAGGGAAGCGUUUGACACCAGUGUUGUUUUCUCGAAAAUCAAUUAAAAAGAGUUAGAUUUUGUUGUGUAUUGACCUUAACAGCUUGCAUUUCAAUUUUCUUGCUUUUUUUAACGCACUUUUCGUUUAACAAGUCAACAUCAGUUUCUUUUGUUGUAAAAAGGUCAUUGGAAGGUAGGCUUUCUUUUCGGAGAAAGUGUUUAUAGCCUUUGACUCCUGCAAUCGGAGAGACUGAGGUCUGCAGCGUAGAUCCUUCGGGGUUAGAUACAUUUGUGCUAUGUUAUAGCUUUUUAUAGACAACUUGUUGACUAUGAUUAGUCUUGUAGCUUACUCGCUUAUGCUAUUUUACCUACGCUUAGGAUGUUGAAGAUGUAGCACAUCAU
rnacentral:rRNA from 1 species